rnacentral:rRNA from 1 species
UACAGAGGGUGCGAGCGUUAAUCGGAAUUACUGGGCGUAAAGCGUGCGUAGACGGUAGCGUAAGUCAGAUGUGAAAGCCCCGGGCUCAACCUGGGAACUGCAUUUGAGACUGCUCUGCUCGGGUGCGGAAGAGGGAAGCGGAAUUUCCGGUGUAGCGGUGAAAUGCGUAGAUAUCGGAAGGAACACCAGUGGCGAAAGCGGCUUCCUGGUCCAGCACCGACGUUCAGGCACGAAAGCGUGGGGAGCAAACAGG